rnacentral:rRNA from 1 species
UGCAAGUCGAGCGGUAACAUUUCUAGCUUGCUAGAAGAUGACGAGCGGCGGACGGGUGAGUAAUGCUUGGGAACAUGCCUUGAGGUGGGGGACAACAGUUGGAAACGACUGCUAAUACCGCAUAAUGUCUACGGACCAAAGGGGGCUUCGGCUCUCGCCUUUAGAUUGGCCCAAGUGGGAUUAGCUAGUUGGUGAGGUAAUGGCUCACCAAGGCGACGAUCCCUAGCUGGUUUGAGAGGAUGAUCAGCCACACUGGGACUGAGACACGGCCCAGACUCCUACGGGAGGCAGCAGUGGGGAAUAUUGCACAAUGGGCGCAAGCCUGAUGCAGCCAUGCCGCGUGUGUGAAGAAGGCCUUCGGGUUGUAAAGCACUUUCAGUCAGGAGGAAAGGUUAGUAGUUAAUACCUGCUAGCUGUGACGUUACUGACAGAAGAAGCACCGGCUAACUCCGUGCCAGCAGCCGCGGUAAUACGGAGGGUGCGAGCGUUAAUCGGAAUUACUGGGCGUAAAGCGUACGCAGGCGGUUUGUUAAGCGAGAUGUGAAAGCCCCGGGCUCAACCUGGGAACUGCAUUUCGAACUGGCAAACUAGAGUGUGAUAGAGGGUGGUAGAAUUUCAGGUGUAGCGGUGAAAUGCGUAGAGAUCUGAAGGAAUACCGAUGGCGAAGGCAGCCACCUGGGUCAACACUGACGCUCAUGUACGAAAGCGUGGGGAGCAAACGGGAUUAGAUACCCCGGUAGUCCACGCCGUAAACGAUGUCUACUAGAAGCUCGGAACCUCGGUUCUGUUUUUCAAAGCUAACGCAUUAAGUAGACCGCCUGGGGAGUACGGCCGCAAGGUUAAAACUCAAAUGAAUUGACGGGGGCCCGCACAAGCGGUGGAGCAUGUGGUUUAAUUCGAUGCAACGCGAAAACCUUACCUACACUUGACAUACAGAGAACUUUCUAGAGAUAGAUUGUGCCUUCGGGACUCUGAUACAGUGCUGCAUGCUGUCGUCAGCUCGUGUGUGAGAUGUUGGGUUAGUCCCGCAACGAGCGCCACCCCUAUUCUUAGUGCUAGAAGGUAAUGCUGAAACUCUAAGGAGAACUGGCGGUGAAUAACCCGAAGAAGUGGGACCACGCUCAGUCAUCAUGGGCCCUUACUGUGAGGGGCU